CAGGCCUAACACAUGCAAGUCGAGCGAGAAAGUGACUUCGGUCGCGAGUAAAGCGGCGAACGGGUGAGUACAACGUGGAUAAUCUACCCUAGGGUCUGGGACAACCCCGAGAAAUCGGAGCUAAUACCGGAUAAGACCACAGUAUCCAAGGAUACAGUGGUAAAAGAUUUAUCGCCUUUGGAUGAGUCCACGUCCCAUCAGGUAGUUGGUAAGGUAAAAGCUUACCAAGCCUAAGACGGGUAGCCGGCCUUAGCGGGUGAACGGCCACAUGGGGACUGAGACACGGCCCUGACUCCUACGGGAGGCAGCAGUGGGGAAUAUUGGGCAAUGGGCGAAAGCCUGACCCAGCGAUGCCGCGUGAGGGAUGAAGGCCUUCGGGUUGUAAACCUCUGUCAGGAGGGACGAUGGGACACUUGUGUCUUGACGGUACCUCCAGAGGAAGCCCCGGCUAACUCCGUGCCAGCAGCCGCGGUAAUACGGAGGGGGCAAGCGUUGCUCGGAAUUACUGGGCGUAAAGGGUCCGCAGGCUGUCAGGCAAGUUGGUUGUGAAAGCUCAAGGCUUAACCUUGGAAUUGCAUCCAAAACUGCCUGACUAGAGUCCAAGAGAGG
rnacentral:rRNA from 1 species